CGAGGGGCCUGGGGAGGAUAUUGACCUUGACAAGAUUACAGUGUUCCCGUGAGAGAACAAGAAAGGAUGAGAAGCAUGCCUGGGAAACUAAGUUUAAGGAAUGUGUUGACCGUUUGCAGUUGUGAUAAGGAACCUGAAAAAGUCACCCAAUGAGGGGUGAUAAAAACAACUUCUGACAACUUUUUGACCAAUAAGGGACAGACAUAUGUACAAGGUAACAAGUAUAAUGGGUAUAAAUUUGCUGGCUUGUAGUAAUAAAAAAACCUUCUUUGCUUGUACUAUAAGAAUGCGUACUUGUCGUUUGUCCGUCUCGACCACGACAAUUGGUGACCCCGACGUGAUGCUGUAAAUAAUGCUUGUGACUGUGAGGAGAGCAGUGGAGACAGAGCCCGGCAUAGCUUGAGAGCGGCGGGAAGAGCUGCUAGUCCGGACCGAUACUUGACACCUGGAGAUAAGCAGGUGAAGCUGCCAGGGAUGUUAUUUGACACUGGCAACGAGCGUUUUCUGUGGCUGGUGUACCUCAGCAGAUUAAGACUGACAACGGUCCAGCCUAUCUUUCUACCAAGAUACUGGACCGCGAUGGGUGCCGGCACGACUGGUAAAACCCUACUUAGAAGUGUCAUCGCCUGCUGCAGUCUCCUCAGAGUAGUGGUUGCAAUAUGGGUACCAUCGCAGCCCAAGAUGAACGUAUGGGUAACGCCUGCAAAUGCUACGGGCCAAGAGGGAUGCUGGCUAAGCACGCAAAGCAAUGCUACAUCACAAGCUCUUUCUGGAUUAUUGCUAGAUAUAGAUUCUAUAUGCCAUGCUACGCUAUAAAACAGAGCAGCUAUUGAUCUUCUAUUGUUGGCCCAUGGCCACAGUUGUGAAAACCUUAAUGGUAUGUGUUGUAUGAACCUAUCAGAUCAUCCGGUGUCAGUGUCCCAGGGUAUCCAACAGCUGCGAAAGGAGGUGCAGAAGCUGACAGAAGAUGUUGGGUUUUUUGGGUUGGAUGGCUUGUUCUCUCAAUGGGGGAUUGGAGGGUGGUUAAAAGGAGUAUUGAAAACAGGAUUAUUAAUAUUGGCAAUUAUUAUAAUUGUAUUGAGCAUCCUCCCAUGUGUGCUGUCCUUGCUGCAAAGGGCCCUGCAGCGGACAAUUCACAUGGCAUAUUUGGUGCAAAAACAAAAAGGGGGAAUUGUGGAGGACCUCAGCUGGACCGAGGGGCCUGGGGAGGAUAUUGACCUUGACAAGAUUGCAGUGUUCCCGUGAGAGAACAAGAAAGGAUGAGAAGCAUGCCUGGGAAACUAAGUUUAAGGAAUGUGUUGACCAUUUGCAGUUGUGAUAAGGAACCUGAAAAAGUCACCCAAUGAGGGGUGAGAAAAACAACUUCUGACAACUUUUUGACCAAUAAGGGACAGACAUAUGUACAAGGUAACAAGUAUAAUGGGUAUAAAUUUGCUGGCUUGUAGUAAUAAGAAAACC